rnacentral:tRNA from 1 species
UCCCUGAUGGUUCAGUGGUUAAGAAUCUGCCUGCGAAUGCAGAGGACACAGGUUCAAUCCCUGGUCUGGGAA